UCCUUCCGCGCGAGUCUCCGGAGAAGCCGCAGCGCGAGUUGCCGCCGCUGCUGCCCGGGGCCGGCUUGCCUUGCGCCAUGGACUGGCAGCCAGACGAGCAGGGCCUGCAGCAGGUCCUGCAGCUGCUCAAAGACUCACAGUCGCCCAACACAGCCACUCAGCGCAUCGUGCAGGAUAAACUCAAACAACUCAAUCAGUUUCCUGACUUCAACAACUACCUGAUUUUCGUCCUGACCAGACUCAAGUCAGAAGAUGAGCCAACGCGCUCUCUCAGUGGCCUCAUCCUCAAGAACAAUGUGAAGGCACACUAUCAGAGCUUCCCACCACCUGUGGCAGACUUCAUCAAACAGGAGUGUCUCAACAACAUUGGCGACGCCUCCUCGCUCAUCCGAGCCACCAUUGGCAUUCUCAUCACCACCAUCGCUUCCAAGGUGAGCAGGACAUCAAGCCACGUUUCCACAAGUCACGCACGGUCACACUGCCCCACGAGGCUGAGCGGCCUGAUGGCUCCGAGGAUGCGGAGGAUGACGAUGAUGAUGAUGCUCUGUCCGACUGGAAUUUGAGGAAGUGCUCAGCGGCUGCACUGGACGUCCU
rnacentral:sRNA from 1 species